GUCCGGGUGGCGGAAUUGGUAGACGCGCUAGCUUGAGGUGCUAGUGCCCCAUUAGCGGGCGUGGGGGUUCAAGUCCCCCCUCGGACA
rnacentral:tRNA from 2 species